CCCGUGAUAGCUCAGUUGGUAGAGCGGAGGACUGUAGAAUGUUAAAAGCUGUUAUCCUUAGGUCACCGGUUCGAAUCCGGUUCGCGGGA